GGGGAGGACGGGGGCGGCGGAGCAGGGGGAGACUCUAAUACUCUGUAGUAAAUAUUUGUUUUGCUUUGGCAUUUUUCUGAAUGCAUAUUAAAUAUUUCAGCUGAAACGUCAACUCGGGGCUUUGGUGAAUGAGCUUGAAGAAAAAGGCUUUUUCAACACUGCCAAUAAUUCUGCUGAUUGGGAGAAUAAGCUCUUUUCAGAACGUGUAGAUAAAUUCAACAACGAAGUUUUUGCUGGGCAUCACCUCCCCAAAUACUAUGUGUUCAGAGGAAUUAUUGAUUAUCGUUCAAUCUUGAUGCGCAAGGGUAGCUCUCAACAAGCCGCUUUUAGUGAGGUUGUUGAUGAAGUAUGUGACAGGUGGAUUGAAAGUUGCGAAGAGUUUUGGAUGGAGACAAGCUAUCAUGAGCACCUCUUCUAUGAUAUUGUUAGACGACCUCUGGAACAGGUCUUUACAACAGAUACAAUGAGCAGAUAUUGAGGAAAAAGAGGAGUGACAUGACUGGCCCCCUUGUUGACAGCUAAAUUGUUCAUGGUGGUGUCGCCUAAGUGGCAGGCUUAAGAUAGGGCUCAACUGCUUCUCUGAAGAAAAAAAUAGAGAAUUUGGCCGAUGAGUAGUUGAGACCCAGAAGUGUCAUUGCCCUCACUAACAAUCUCAGUCGAGGCAGUAUCAUCCUGCAGCUGCCUGACUUCCUGUCAUGCCUGAGUGGAUAGGGGGAGAUGGAACUCCUCUCUCAGCCCAGUCAUGCCUAAGGACCCCCUCACCAAAGUGUCUUCAUUUGUGCAUAUUAGGAAGCCCUGGAAUAAGCAACUGGCAAAAUUUGAGGCUGCCACAGAUCCUUGCAGAAAAGGGUCGAGGAGCCAUCUGUGAUAUUAACUUUCAAAACACCACGGUACACUUCAGUGAGCUGAAUAAUGUCACGCCACCAAACGGACCCACAAGGGUCGUCAGAAGCAUGAGGAACCUUGUUUUCGUAGUAUGUGGACCAAACCAAAUUCACCCAGGGGACAUCAUGUUUAUUAUAUAAUUUAUGUAUUUCAGGAGAAGGCCCUUAUUUUGAAGUUUGAUAUCCAGAACAACCAAACAUCCCCAGUUUUUCUCGCUGCAGACAAGCUCCCAGGCAGCCAAUGAGCUGUACUUGUCCCCCUGUUCGGUUUUCUUUGUCCAGAGACAUCUACGCCUGAGCUUAUCAAGGUAUUGCAGAAUCCUUGGUGGCAGUGCUCCCCUGAGAGAGCAUUGAUAAGGAGGAAGAGAGCCUGCGCUCCACUCCAUUCCAUGGGCAUGAGAUCAGCCAUGGAUAGUCUUGUGGUCCCAUCGGCAGGCUGAGGUACGUGAAGGGCAUGGAUCUGACAGAGCAUUGAAAGAUCUCUGCUAGAGCACUGCUUUUGUGAGCAGACAAGUUGAUACAAAAUAGAUUUCUGGAAAUCAAUGUUUGGACCAACGGAAGCAGUAUAGUCUAUCAAAAUAUUUUUCAUCGUCACUGUUUGAGCAGGGCAUGCAGGAAACACCAUCAUCGUGUCGUCAGCAUACUGAAUACCAGGGUAGUCUGAAUCUCCCACUGCAGUAAUGGGCAACGACAGAAGAUUUCUUUGGUGAUAAUCAUUGAUCAUUGCCUGAAGCAAGUCGGCUGCCAGCACGAAGAUUAGCGGAGAUAGGGAUCACCCUAGUGAAUACCCCUAAGGCAAUGAAAUUAUUUGCCCGGUACCCCGUUGAGCAGAACCCAAGAAACUCCAGACCCGAAAAUGCGCUUAAUCCACCCUAGCCAGCGGUGAUCAAACUGCAUUGCUUUCAUAAUAUUCAGCAUGGCUGCAUGCUCUAUAGUAUCGAAGGCUUUGGCGAAAUCCAGUUUCAGAAUGAAAGUCCCAUUACCAGAAGCUUGACAUUGGUAAAUAUACGAACUCCCAUCCGAGGCAAUCCUGAAUGGUUCUCCCUUUGAAAAAGCCAUAUUAGUUUCUGUGGGUAAUGUGCAAUAUCAAUCUCUGUAGUUGGUUGGCAAGAACCUUCAUGAUCACUUUGAGGCAACAGUUUAGGAGUGUGCUCGGCCUAUAGUCAUUUGCAGUCUCCGGUGAGGCAGUUUUCGGGAUCCGUGUAAUGUAGCCAGUGUUUAUACUCUGGAGAUUGAGUUUGCCAUCAUAAAAGUGCUCAACUGGUAGAAAUCGUAUCUGACAAUGUGCCAGCCAGAUUUCAGAAACACGCCACUAAACCCGUCAGGCCCCUGUGCCUAUCUGCAGGCAUCACUUGAUCACGCUAUCUAUCUCAUCGCGGUAAAAGGCUCAGAGAGCACCACUGAAGCUCCCAGACAAAUCUGAAGUCCUGACAUUGCAUAUAAAGAGUGUCUGGGAAAUUCCUCACCUCUGGCUAUGCGCCUUGAUCUAAACUCCAUUUUUCAUGGAAUCGAGGGCCUUGAGCAUCCAUUUUGAAAGAUAUUGGAAUUGGAUGGAAGUCGGAUCAUCUGGUUCCUGUUUGUUACUAUCCUAUCUUCUACUGCUUCAGGUCAAACCACCAAGAAGCCAAAACCCCACCACUAUUGUGCAUGCAACUAAACAGAAAUAAAUGGAUUCAUCAUGUCUACGCGGUAGCCUACUGGGUGUAGUAUAGGAUGCUGUAGAGAAGCUUUCCAUCAAUUUAUCAAGAACUUUUAGUGUGAUGGGCCUCAGAGCGACACACUUUUUUAGAGGCUUCGACUGGUUUGUCGUUUAUCACAUUGCUCUAUUUUUUCAGCUAUGUCUGCCAGAUUGUUGAGUUAGACAUAUUGCUGCGCUCUCCUAUUUUCUUAUAUUUGUGAGACUGCAAUUCAUAGGAUACUUGUGUAAAUUUUCUGACCAGACUUCAACAGAUGUUGUAUGUGCUGAUGGCUGUGAGUUGGAGAAUUUGGUCUUUACUUUCUAGGAAAGGAUUUCCUUUCCAUUAUACUCCUGCUGUGAACAUUUAGCUUAAAUUUUGUUACAAUUGUUUUACGGUUUAAGGUCUUCAUAUAACAAUGCUAUUGGAUGUGUUUUCGUGGUA